rnacentral:pre_miRNA from 1 species
AGGUCCUCAAUAAGUAUUUGUUGAAAGAAUAAAUAAACCAACAAGUCUUAUAUGAGCACCUGUUAUG